UUCUAUCCAGAUGGACGGAUUGGUCUUUGGGAUGAUCCGGACUGUUCAUAUGUUCUGCUUAUCUAUCUGAUUCUAAGUCAAGGGGUGGUUGGUUGAAUGACUUAGGAUUUGGUAGGAAGGUUCAUAUCUUUUCAUAAGUAUAUUGUCCGAGGUUUAUCUGUGUUCUAGGAACCAAGCCAAGUAUUGUAGAAUCGACCAGUUCUAUUCUCGGUUAUGAUUAAUGCUUAUCUGGUUGUGGUUUCAGGAACUAAGGAUGGUUCUGGUAAAGCCAAGGAGCCGUGAAGGCUCGGUCAGUGAUAGGCUGUGUAACGUGUGGUUAGAUGAUGCUAGCGAUGAACUAGUGAUUGUCUAUGAAACGAUUAAGAAGUUGUGCUUUGGAUCUCAUGUUUCUAAGUAAUACAUUUUAUACACAUUUAUAUUCCGCUGUGCUAUCUGUUCAAUUGUUUUAGAACCUCAGAUUCGAACAUGACUUAGUAAAGGAAAGACUUAAAAUGAAUCAAUCAAGCAAAGAAAUUGAUUAAGUAGCAACCGGGUCCAGUUUCGUCGAGAGGUCGGAUUUAGGCGUUACAGAGACUGAAUGAGAAUGAAUGAAUUGAUCUAUGGUCGUGUAUCCUUUAUAUAGGCAAUCAAAGGUCAUGUGCAAAGGGACACAUCCCUUCGAAGCAUCCUUUUGGAACAGAUCUUGGCCAUCGAUUACAAUCAAUGGUCCAAAUCGUACCUGUUCGGAAAUGGAAGGUUCCAGACCUUAUAGGCACGUCCAACCCAAGCCCAGACUUGGUACCCAAGCCCACGGCCUGCCCACAAGAGCCCAACGACUCAUGGACCACAUGGCCGGACCUCAUGGCCCGCCACUGACCCAGACCCGGACCAUCGGCCCAAAACCUGAAUAGUCCAUCGAGCUGAGAUGAGCUGACUCCCAGCUAUCUCAGCUGAGUGAGCUAGUAGUCCAGCUGGUUGAGCUGAUUUAACUUGGAACGAGCUAGGCUGAGCUUGACCGAGCUACAGCUAGCUAAUCGAGGUUCCCGUAAGCAUCGCCCAGCUUCUGUACAUCUUAUCCUAGCUGACUUCUUUCUCUUAUAAGGUUAAGUCUCAGCAUCCUGACGUCCUUAACCUUCUAUCUUAGCCAUGGAACGCUGGCCUUAAGGUCUUAAGACCGGCUGGUUCGUUUCCUCGAACCAUGGCCGUCCUGACGGUCCUUAUCCAGGAUCGCGGAUGUUAAAGGUCUCCAAGGUGAACAGCCUCUGGUCGAUGGAACAGUAGAGGCAAGGGAAGUCGGAAGAAUGGAUCCGUAACUUCAGGAAAAGGAUUGGCUUUGAGGGCUGAGGUCGGGGGUCCCAGUUCUGAACCCGUCGACUGUUGGCGGGCUGCUUGAGCUGCUAACGUUGCGAGAGCGCACCGCCUCGUGUCGGCCGGGGGACAGACUGGGAACGGCUCUUUCGGGAUCUUUCCCCGAGCGUCGAAUAGCCAACUCAGAACUGGUACGGACAAGGGGAAUCUGACUGUUUAAUUAAAACAAAGCAUUGCGAUGGUCCCUGCGGAUGCUAACGCAAUGUGAUUUCUGCCCAGUGCUCUGAAUGUCAAAGUGAAGAAAUUCAACCAAGCGCGGGUAAACGGCGGGAGUAACUUUGACUCUCCUAAGGUAGCCAAAUGCCUCAUCAUCUAAUUAGUGACGCGCAUGAAUGGAUUAACGAGAUUCCCACUGUCCCUAUCUACUAUCCAGCGAAACCACAGCCAAGGGAAUAGGCUUGGCAGAAUCCGCGGGGAAAGAAGACCCUGUUGAGCUUGACUCUAGUCCGACUUUGUGAAAUGACUUGAGAGGUGUAGAAUAAGUGGGAGCUCCGGUGCAAGUUUAAUACCACUACUUUUAACGUUAUUUUACUUACUCCGUCAAUCGGAGGCGGGGUAACAGCCCCUUCUUUUAGACCCAAGACUCGCUUCGGUGGGUCAAUACAGGCGGAGGACAUUGUCAGGUGGGGAGUUUGGCUGGGGCGGCACAUCUCUUAUAAGAUAACACAGGUGUCCUAAGAUAAGCUCAACGAGAACAUAAAUCUCCUGUGGAACAAAAGGGUAAAAGCUCGUUUGAUUCUGAUUUUCA
rnacentral:rRNA from 1 species